AAAACAUCUUUUCUUGUUAGUUUUUGAAGUAUGGCCUGCCCGCUGACAUUAAGUUGAAGGGCCGCGGUAUUUUGACCGUGCAAAGGUAGCAUAAUCAUUAGUUCUUUAAUUGUGAUCUGGAAUGAAUGGCUUGACGAGGCACGAGCUGUCUUAGUGUUGAAUAUUUUAUUGAAUUUGGUCUUUGAGUUAAAAUUCUUAGAUGUUUUUAUGGGACGAGAAGACCCUAUAGAGUUUGACAUAUUAGUUUAUUCAUUUAUUGGUUGUUUGUUUUAUUUAUUGGUGAGUGGGCUUUUUGUUUUGUUGGGGUGAUGAGAGGAAUGAUUUAACUCCUCUUGGUUUUGGUUAUAUNGAUUUAUAGUUGUGUGAUCCAUUUAUUUUGAUUAUAAGAUUAAAUUACCUUAGGGAUAACAGCGU
rnacentral:rRNA from 1 species